UUGAGAUCCCAUAGAAAUCCACUAAAAAAAUGUUGGGUGCCGGAUUACCGAGCGCCUACUACACUUAUUUCCGAACUACAGAAAGUAACAUAAAUAAAAAUGUCCGCUAUAUCUCAACAAAAUUUUGCCAACGGAAAUUCCACAAGGCAACGUCUCUAAAGAAUUGUUCUAAGAAUUACCCACGUAAAAAACUGUAGCUUAAUGUCAGCUGAAUAAAGUUAUACACCAUGUAUUACUAAACAGAAUUUUAACUCGUCCAUCCAAAGCUUACACAAGUUGUUGCAUUUUUUUUUCAUUGAAACAGGAAUGUGUAUAGGAUUCUCAACGAACGGAAAUACCAUCAAACCGCAGAUAUGUUUCAGAGUUCCGGUGCAAAGUAGAAAAGUUAAACGGUUUUUAGUAUAUCAAUGGAAUUUCCGGUUGCCACUUAAUAGAGGUAGGUGAUAUUUUAUCUUAUCAUUUUAUUGUUAUUAUUGCAUGAUGUCAUGCCAAUUGGAUGUGUAAUCAUGCAAUGACGUAGCCAAUUUUUAAUAGUAUGUUACGUAUUACAUUUCAUUACGUAAUUCUUAAAAAAACUGAUAAUUAUACAGCAGGUGGGCUUAGAGAACCCACCUGCACAAUGAAAGUCAGUUUUUAAACCACUGCUACUCUGUUCUUUUCAGUUUCUCUAUUCCUUUAUUAGCCUUACGUAAUCAACGGCCGUUUCCUACUAAUACACUUCCUUUCAGAAAAAUAAAAAAAAAUUAACGUAAUUAUCUACCGAAGACUUUAGUCAUUUUUAGUCGCUUAAUCCCAUCUUUUCCAACGCUCUGUAUAUUCCAUCUCUGAUGUUAAUUUUAGUAUUGGCAUAUUAAAAUCUAUACGGGAACGCAAAUACAUAGAUACCUACCUACCGGUAUUGGAUUCGAAACUGGCAGUCUCGAGUUCUUCAACACAAAAAAGGAUGUUGAUGAUUCUUUACAUUAUGGUGGCUCAUUAUUGAAAAUUGAUUUAUUUUUUGUGAUCUGUGUGCCACUUACACGAAAGCAGGAACUUCCUUAUUAUUAUUUUUUUAUUGUAGCUUUCUAUAAUUGCGCAUUCAAAAGUAACAAGAAUAUACAGGAUGUUCUAUUGAAAAAAAAUUGUUGCAAUUUCCGAAUAAACCGCAGUAUUGUAUAUGCAAGCCAUUCGACAACUGUCGGGAAAUCCUGUCGGUUGAGAUUCCUAGUUCAUUGGCGUUGUAGUAUCAUGGAUGAAUGGGAUGCGUGUUUGCUAUCAACAACUUUAAGUUUCCAAAAGAUCCACGGCGCUUAGUUUUUGCCGAAGAAAAAUGAGAAAUAAACAUUCUUUCGAAGACGAGCAUCCUUCCCAAAAAAAUUGCAUUGUCUAUUUUUUUUUUA